UACAGAGGGUGCGAGCGUUAAUCGGAAUUACUGGGCGUAAAGCGCGCGUAGGCGGCUUUGCAAGUCGGGGGUGAAAUCCCCAGGCUUAACCUGGGAACUGCAUUCGAGACUGCAUUGCUAGAGUAUGGGAGAGGGAAGUGGAAUUUCCGGUGUAGCGGUGAAAUGCGUAGAUAUCUGGAGGAACACCGGUGGCGAAGGCGGCAUCCUGGACCGGCAUUGACGCUGAGGAGCGAAAGCCAGGGGAGCAAACGGG
rnacentral:rRNA from 1 species